CCUACGGGAGGCAGCAGUGAGGAAUAUUGGUCAAUGGACGAGAGUCUGAACCAGCCAAGUCGCGUGAAGGAUGACGGCCCUAUGGGUUGUAAACUUCGUUUAUAUGGGAAUAAAAUGUUCCUCGUGGGGGAUUUUGUAUGUACCAUAUGCAUAAGGAUCGGCUAACUCCGUGCCAGCAGCCGCGGUAAGACGGAGGAUCCGAGCGUUAUCCGGAUUUAUUGGGUUUAAAGGGAGCGUAGGUGGAUUGUUAAGUCAGUUGUGAAAGUUUGCGGCUCAAACGUAAGAUUGCAGUUGAAACUGGCAGUCUUGAGUGCAGGAGAGGUGGGCGGAAUUCGUGGUGUAGCGGUGAAAUGCUUAGAUAUCACGAAGAACUCCGAUUGCGAAGGCAGUUCACUGGACUGCAACUGACACUGAGGCUCGAAAGUGUGGGUAUCAAACAGGAUUAGAUACCCCAGUAGUC
rnacentral:rRNA from 1 species